rnacentral:tRNA from 1 species
UCCCUGGUGGCUCAGACGGUAAAAGCGUCUGCCCGCAAUGCAGGAGACCUGGGUUCGAUUCCUGGGUUGGGAA